UCCGGUUUAUCACCGGCAGUCUCUUCAGAGUGCCCAGCGUGACCUGAUGGCAACAGAAGACAAGGGUUGCGCUCGUUGCGGGACUUAACCCAACAUCUCACGACACGAGCUGACGACAGCCAUGCAGCACCUCUACGAGUGUCCUUGCGGAAGCCGACUUUCGCCGGAUGUCACUCGCUGUUCAAGCCUGGGUAAGGUUCUUCGCGUUGCGUCGAAUUGAACCACAUGCUCCACCGCUUGUGCGGGCCCCCGUCAAUUCCUUUGAGUCUCAGCCUUGCGACCGUACUCCCCAGGCGGAAUGCUUAAUGCGUUAGCUUCGGCACGGCAGGGAUCGAUACCCACCACACCAAGCAUUCAUCGUUUAGGGCCAGGACUAC
rnacentral:misc_RNA from 1 species